rnacentral:rRNA from 1 species
GUGGGGAAUAUUGCACAAUGGGGGAAACCCUGAUGCAGCGACGCCGCGUGAGCGAAGAAGUAUUUCGGUAUGUAAAGCUCUAUCAGCAGGGAAGAAGAAUGACGGUACCUGACUAAGAAGCACCGGCUAAAUACGUGCCAGCAGCCGCGGUAAUACGUAUGGUGCAAGCGUUAUCCGGAUUUACUGGGUGUAAAGGGAGCGCAGGCGGUGCGGCAAGUCUGAUGUGAAAGCCCGGGGCUCAACCCCGGUACUGCAUUGGAAACUGUCGUACUAGAGUGUCGGAGGGGUAAGUGGAAUUCCUAGUGUAGCGGUGAAAUGCGUAGAUAUUAGGAAGAACACCAGUGGCGAAGGCGGCUUACUGGACGGUAACUGACGUUGAGGCUCGAAAGCGUGGGGAGCAAACAGGAUUAGAAACCCGAGUAGUCC